rnacentral:rRNA from 1 species
UACGGAGGGGGCUAGCGUUGUUCGGAAUCACUGGGCGUAAAGCGCGCGCAGGUGGCUUGGAAAGUCAGAGGUGAAAUCCCGGAGCUUAACUUCGGAAUUGCCUUUGAAACUCUCAAGCUAGAGUAUGGUAGAGGAUGGCGGAAUUCCUAGUGUAGAGGUGAAAUUCGUAGAUAUUAGGAGGAACACCAGUGGCGAAGGCGGCCAUCUGGGCCAUUACUGACACUGAGGCGCGAAAGCGUGGGGAGCAAACAGG